rnacentral:rRNA from 1 species
GAUGAACGCUGGCGGCGUGCUUAACACAUGCAAGUCGAACGGAAAGGCUCCUGCUUGCAGGGGUACUCGAGUGGCGAACGGGUGAGUAACACGUGGGUGAUCUGCCCUGCACUUCGGGAUAAGCUUGGGAAACUGGGUCUAAUACCGGAUAGGACCGCAUUUUGGAUGGUGUGGUGGAGAGUUUUUUCGGUGUGGGAUGAGCUCGCGGCCUAUCAGCUUGUUGGUGGGGUAAUGGCCUACCAAGGCGUCGACGGGUAGCCGGCCUGAGAGGGUGUACGGCCACAUUGGGACUGAGAUACGGCCCAGACUCCUACGGGAGGCAGCAGUGGGGAAUAUUGCACAAUGGGCGGAAGCCUGAUGCAGCGACGCCGCGUGGGGGAUGACGGCCUUCGGGUUGUAAACUCCUUUCGCUAGGGACGAAGAGUAAUUGACGGUACCUGGAGAAGAAGCACCGGCUAACUACGUG